rnacentral:rRNA from 1 species
CGCCUCUUGUUAAACUAUAAGAGGUCCAGCCUGCCCAGUGAAUAAAUUUAACGGCCGCGGUAUCCUAACCGUGCGAAGGUAGCGUAAUCACUUGUUCUUUAAAUAAGGACUAGUAUGAAUGGCAUCACGAAGGUUAUACUGUCUCCCCUUUUUAAUCAGUGAAACUAAUCUCCCCGUGAAGAAGCGGGAAUAAAAUUAUAAGACGAGAAGACCCUAUGGAGCUUUAGACUAUACAACAAUUGCUAUUCACUUGUCAUACCCUCUGGGUACUCAACUAUAUUUUUUCAUAUUGAUUGUUAGUCUUAGGUUGGGGUGACCGCGGAGUAAAAUAUAACCUCCAUGAUGAAAGAAGCUCAAUUUCUUAACCCAGAGUUACAACUCUAAGUACCAAAAAUUUGACAUAAAUUGAUCCAAUUUAUUGAUCAACGAACCAAGUUACCCUAGGGAUAACAGCGCAAUCUACUUCAAGAGUCCUUAUCGACAAGUAGGUUUACGACCUCGAUGUUGGAUCAGGGUAUCCUAGUGGUGCAGCCGCUACUAAAGGUUCGUUUGUUCAACGAUUAAAACCCUACGUGAUCUGAGU